rnacentral:rRNA from 1 species
AACGUAGGUUCCGAGCGUUAUCCGGAUUUACUGGGCGUAAAGCGCGUUCAGGCGGUUUGGCAAGUCGGACAUGAAAUCUCUCGGCUCAACCGGGAGAGUGUGUCCGAUACUGCUGGACUUGAGGGCAGUAGAGGGUGGUGGAAUUCCGGGUGUAGUGGUGAAAUGCGUAGAUAUUCGCAAGAACACCAGUGGCGAAGGCGGCUCCCUGGCCUGCUACUGACGCUGAGACACGAAAGCGUGGGGAGCGAACAGG